rnacentral:rRNA from 1 species
UACGUAGGGUGCGAGCGUUAAUCGGAAUUACUGGGCGUAAAGCGGGCGCAGACGGUUACUUAAGCAGGAUGUGAAAUCCCCGGGCUCAACCUGGGAACUGCGUUCUGAACUGGGUGACUAGAGUGUGUCAGAGGGAGGUAGAAUUCCACGUGUAGCAGUGAAAUGCGUAGAGAUGUGGAGGAAUACCGAUGGCGAAGGCAGCCUCCUGGGAUAACACUGACGUUCAUGCCCGAAAGCGUGGGUAGCAAACAGGAUUAGAUACCCUGGUAGUCCACGCCCUAAACGAUGUCGAUUAGCUGUUGGGCAGCCUUGACCGCUUAGUAGCGAAGCUAACGCGUGAAAUCGACCGCCUGGGGAGUACGGCCGCAAGGUUAAAACUC